rnacentral:rRNA from 1 species
UACAGAGGGUGCAAGCGUUGUUCGGCAUUAUUGGGCGUAAAGCGCGUGUAGGCGGCUUUGCAAGUCGGGUGUGAAAUCCCUCAGCUCAACUGAGGAAGUGCGCCCGAAACUGCAGAGCUUGAGUACCGGAGAGGAUGGCGGAAUUCCCCAAGUAGAGGUGAAAUUCGUAGAUAUGGGGAGGAACACCGGUGGCGAAGGCGGCCAUCUGGACGGAUACUGACGCUGAGACGCGAAAGCGUGGGGAGCAAACAGG